UGGAUGAUGUGGAUUAAUUCGAUGCAACGCGAAAGCCUUACUACCCUUGACAUGUCCGGAAUCCCGAAGAGGUUGGAGUGCUCGUAAGAGAGCCGGAACACAGGUGCUGCAUGGCUGUCGUCAGCUCGUGUCGUGAGAUGUUGGGUUAAGUCCCGCAACGAGCGCAACCCUUGUCAUUAGUUGCCAUCAUUUGGUUGGGCACUCUAAUGAGACUGCCGGUGACAAACCGGAGGAAGGUGGGGAUGACGUCAAGUCCUCAUGGCCCUUAUGGGUAGGGCUUCACACGUCAUACAAUGGUCGGUACAGAGGGUUGCCAACCCGCGAGGGGGAGCUAAUCCCACAAAGCCGAUCGUAGUCCGGAUCGCAGUCUGCAACUCGACUGCGUGAAGUCGGAGUCGCUAGUAAUCGCAGAUCAGCAACGCUGCGGUGAAUACGUUCCCGGGCCUU
rnacentral:rRNA from 1 species